UUUCUGCGAUUUCUGCUACUUCUGCGAUUUCUGCUACUUCUGCGAUUUCUGUGACUUCUGCGAUUUCUGCUACUUCUGCGAUUUCUGUGACUUCUGCUACUUCUGCGAUUUCUGUGAUUCCUGCGAUUUCUGCGACUUACCACCGUAUGAGAAAGUUACAUCUGUCAACACAGAAAAUUGCAUCUCAACAAACCUGUCUUUGGCAAGUACCUGAACUACAUUUCAGUCAGUCAGUAAAGUGAUAACUCAAAAUAUCAUUGUCAACAGAUCUGAAGAAAUUGCCACUGCGUCUUUAGACCGUUUUUGUCAGACGAGAGACACAGUUCUGACUGAUUACUGGUUGCUGUACGUAUCUAUCCACAUCAAGGCUGUUUUUGAGAGAGACUCGUGAAGAUUCAAGAUUUGCAGUUUAAAAGUGAAAUAAUUGUGAAAUAAGUGUGUGAAUGAUUAAACUGUGUUUUAUUGAAGUUGUUGUGCGAUUUUAAAGGAAUAAUAAAUGUCAA